GACGAACGCUGGCGGCGUGCCUAACACAUGCAAGUCGAACGGACGAAGCCCUUCGGGGCCUAGUUAGUGGCGAACGGGUGAGUAACGCGUGAGGAACCUGCCUUUCAGAGGGGGACAACAGUUGGAAACGACUGCUAAUACCGCAUAACACAACGGGACCGCAUGAUCCUGUUGUCAAAGAUUUAUCGCUGAAAGAUGGCCUCGCGUCUGAUUAGCUAGUUGGUGAGGUAACGGCCCACCAAGGCGACGAUCAGUAGCCAGACUGAGAGGUUGACCGGCCACAUUGGGACUGAGAUACGGCCCAGACUCCUACGGGAGGCAGCAGUGGGGAAUAUUGGGCAAUGGACGCAAGUCUGACCCAGCAACGCCGCGUGAAGGAAGAAGGCUUUCGGGUUGUAAACUUCUUUUACCAGGGACGAAGAACGUGACGGUACCUGGAGAAAAAGCAACGGCUAACUACGUG
rnacentral:rRNA from 1 species